rnacentral:tRNA from 1 species
UGCAGAUAAAUGGCCAGCCAGAGCUUCUUCAAAUCCAGUUAAAUUAACUUUGGCUAAGAUAGAGGCUGUGUCGAAU